rnacentral:rRNA from 1 species
CAGCCGCCACGGGAAUACGGAGGGAGCUAGCGUUGUUCGGAAUUACUGGGCGUAAAGCGCGCGUAGGCGGUUACUCAAGUCAGAGGUGAAAGCCCGGGGCUCAACCCCGGAACUGCCUUUGAAACUAGGUAACUAGAAUCUUGGAGAGGUCAGUGGAAUUCCGAGUGUAGAGGUGAAAUUCGUAGAUAUUCGGAAGAACACCAGUGGCGAAGGCGACUGACUGGACAAGUAUUGACGCUGAGGUGCGAAAGCGUGGGGAGCAAACAGGAUUAGAUACCCCCGUAGUCCCUGUCUCUUAUAA